GACGAACGCUGGCGGCGUGCCUAAUACAUGCAAGUCGAACGCAUUUUCUUUCACCGUAGCUUGCUACACCGAAAGAAAAUGCGUGGCGAACGGGUGAGUAACACGUGGGUAACCUGCCCAUCAGCGGGGGAUAACACUUGGAAACAGGUGCUAAUACCGCAUAAUUCCAUUUACCGCAUGGCAGAUAGAUGAAAGGCGCUUUUGCGUCACUGAUGGAUGGACCCGCGGUGCAUUAGCUAGUUGGUGGGGUAACGGCCUACCAAGGCUGCGAUGCAUAGCCGACCUGAGAGGGUGAUCGGCCACACUGGGACUGAGACACGGCCCAGACUCCUACGGGAGGCAGCAGUAGGGAAUCUUCGGCAAUGGACGCAAGGCUGACCGAGCAACGCCGCGUGAGUGAAGAAUGUUUUCGGAUCGUAAAACUCUGUUGUUAGAGAAGAACAAGGAUGAGGGUGGAAAGUUCAUCCCUUGACGGUAUCUAACCAGAAAGCCACGGCUAACUACGUG
rnacentral:rRNA from 1 species